rnacentral:rRNA from 1 species
UACGUAGGCAGCGAGCGUUGUUCGGAGUUACUGGGCGUAAAGGGUGUGUAGGCGGUUGUUUAAGUUUGGUGUGAAAUCUCCCGGCUCAACUGGGAGGGUGCGCCGAAUACUGAAUGACUUCGAGUGCGGGAGAGGAGAGUGGAAUUCCUGGUGUAGCGGUGAAAUGCGUAGAUAUCGGGAGGAACACCUGUGGCGAAAGCGGCUCACUGGACCACAACUGACGCUGAGGCACGAAAGCGUGGGGAGCAAACGGG